rnacentral:lncRNA from 10 species
AUGGCAAUCCAACAGCAGAAUGGGAGGAUAAAAUAAUCAGAACUAGAGAUAGCUGAAGCAGCCAUCUUGUGACCACAAGCAACGGACUAGUAGGGGAAGAGUCGACACACUGAAGAGAAGAAAGCAAGUGUUUUUUUCUAGAAAGAAGAAAGAGAAAAGUGGAUUCUCAACUAGAAGCAAAAACAUCCACUGAAGUUUGUGAGAGUGCAAUAGGCAGGUGCCACAGAUCUUUCUGAGGAAGUACUACCAUAUGACUUCACCUUCUCAGGCUGAGGUAUCAGCUUGACUGUCACUCCACAGAUCAAGACUAGAGGUAAAUGUAAACACUAUACAGGUGGGAUGAGAAACAGCUGUUCAGCUGCCUGGCUAGAAGAACAGGCCCAGUUCUUUGCUACAGGAUGGACAUGGAAAAGUUCAGGCAUUUGAAGUUACUGGCGUCAGCCACAUGAGAUUGAUGACGGGAUUGGCUUCUACAAGAGGUCCAUGUGGUUCUCAUUUCUGAAAACAGAUGUUUGGAAACCAAUGUUUUCAAAGAUAAUAUGAAACUACACCAAUAUGCUGCACUAUGGAGAAAAACUAACCUUGACAGAAGAAAAAAGAUUUUCUUGAGGCAGAAGAUGAAGGACUAUUGGUCGGGACAUUCACAGAAGUCUGUUCUGUAAGUUGGGUUAUAUGGAAGCAGAGAUGCUAGGUCAACCCAUGUUGUGCCCUCCCUCUUUUGGUAAGCAAAACACUGAUGCUUAUGACAUCUUCCUUUUCUUUGGUGGUGGCCUUGAAAAUUGUUAUUCCUUCCAGAAAGGGCUGGAUGUCACUCGCUUAUGAAUUUGAAUCCUUCUCUUUUUGCCAAAUGAUAGAACUGAGCUUGCUCCAUGAGCUUCAUGUGUGUAAACAUUAGUGGGGAUCCAAGUGGCUCUGCAGGUAGAAUAGACACUCAGGUCCCUCCUGCCCAAGUCCAGGGGCUUGCUUCCAUGAAUCCAAUCCUUUAGUUCAUAUCAGUUCAUGGUGUACCAGAAGCCUCAACACAUCUGCAAAUUUUUACAGAACAUGUUUGUGCAAGGAAAUAAAUUAGGUCACCAGGCCUUCAAAGGCUCCUUCCACUUAGGGGUGGUGGAGCCCAUGAAGCUGAGAAUCACCCUUGCCAGCUGUUGGAACUUGAAAUAAUCCUCCAAAAACCUCUUGCUAUUUUAGGAGGGUCAUCCUGGUGGGUCUGUGUAUGCUGUAAAAGAGUGGCUCACUAUUUAACCACCCAUCUCUACUGUGCUGAUUUAGGGACCACGAUCACUUGAGCUUUUCUUGGUGCCUGGGAUCUGUCUUUCUGCACAGGGAUAAUCUAGGCUUAUUUGUGGCUUUUUUCCCCUGCAUUUCCUUUACUUGCUCACUUUCCUUCUUUUCCUCACUAUGUUUCCAUUUGAAAUCAGUUUUCACAUAUGCAUUUCAGUGCAACUCUACCUUCAGGAACUUACUGGAUUACACAGGAAAUUCCUUAUAGUGUGUGACCAUCUGCACUGCAAACAAUUUUCAGGGAAUUGACUAGCUACUAAUACCACUUACAAAAAAUCUAAUAAGGGGUUUAACAUUUUCAUAAGGAAAAUUAAUAUUUAUAUUUUCUGUUUUGGUUGGGUUACAUUUUUACUAUUUUGAGAAAAAAAGUAUUGCAUUUUUAAAAAGUGAACAAAAAAAGCUCUCAUACAAUUGAAUGGUAUUGCCAAAAGAAAUUAAGAAGUCAGAAUUUGAUGAUUCAAUAUAUUAUAAAUAUAUUUUUGACCAUAGUCCUAAACUAUCAUCUGUCAAGUUGUAUUAUUUUGAGUACAUAAGUAUUUUUCAUGUUCUUAUUUGUUUUCUAUAAUGCCUCAUAACAUAUAUAGCUCUGUGAGUCUGUUCUUUCAGAAGAUCUUAUCUCUUGUUAGUUUUCAAGGAUUUCCAGGUUCACAGCAGCUGACUUUUUACUACACAUUUUAUGACUCUAAAACCAUUAGAAGAACAUCAAUGCUUCCCUAAAUUGGUUUUUUGGAGAAAAUGUAAUAUGUUUGAUGAAUUCAAAUAAAAAGAUGGAAAC